rnacentral:rRNA from 1 species
AUUGAACGCUGGCGGCAUGCCUUACACAUGCAAGUCGAACGGCAGCACGGGUGCUUGCACCUGGUGGCGAGUGGCGAACGGGUGAGUAAUACAUCGGAACGUGCCUUAUCGUGGGGGAUAACGCAGCGAAAGCUGUGCUAAUACCGCAUACGCCCUGAGGGGGAAAGCGGGGGAUCGAAAGACCUUGCGCGAUUAGAGCGGCCGAUGCCUGAUUAGCUUGUUGGUGGGGUAAAAGCCCACCAAGGCGACGAUCAGUAGCUGGUCUGAGAGGACGAUCAGCCACACUGGGACUGAGACACGGCCCAGACUCCUACGGGAGGCAGCAGUGGGGAAUUUUAGACAAUGGGGGCAACCCUGAUCCAGCAAUGCCGCGUGAGUGGAGAAGGCCUUCGGGUUGUAAAGCUCUUUUGUCAGGGAAGAAACACCGGCUCUAACACAGUCCGGGAAUGACGGUACCUGAAGAAUAGGCACCGGCUAACUACGUGCCAGCCGCCGCCGUAA